UGGGCUUUAGCUUAAUUAAAGUGUUUGAGUUGCAUUCAUAGGAUGUGGGAUAGAGUCCCACAAGUUCGA
rnacentral:tRNA from 1 species